UACGAGGGGGCUAGCGUUGUUCGGAAUCACUGGGCGUAAAGCGCACGCAGGCGGAUCGAUAAGUCGGGGGUGAAAGCCCGGGGCUCAACCUCGGAAUUGCCUUCGAUACUGUCGGUCUUGAGUCCGGGAGAGGUGAGUGGAAUUCCUAGUGUAGAGGUGAAAAUCGUAGAUAUUAGGAAGAACACCAGUGGCGAAGGCGGCUCACUGGCCCGGUACUGACGCUCAGGUGCGAAAGCGUGGGGAGCAAACAGG
rnacentral:rRNA from 1 species